AUCAAGUUCAAAGCCUAUGAUCUCAAGAUAUUACACAGUGGUUUCUUCAUCAUUCAUCAUCACUCCACUCAGAAAGGAGAAAGUGGAGAACACAGAAGAGAUGUUGGUCCAUGACAAGUCUAAAGUUCUGGACAGAUACUGUGAGACUUGCUAUCCCAGAGAAACAUGUGCAGCCAGGAAGACAAUUUGAAAGAAUGGAAAGAAUCUUAAGGCAAAAUUGUUCAAAAUUAAAUGCUGAUGGUAGCUAUACCUCCAAACCAUUGUACUUCAGCUGAGAACCUGCACCAUGGAUCUGGCCAGAAAUGAGAACGGCUGUAAAGUGGUUCCUAGGAAACUUCUCACAGCCUUCCUGAGACUGAAGAGCAUAUGCACUGCCCAUUUUAGAGAUGGUUGACUAUACUCUAUCUCUUACUGGAGCUCCUUACACAACAGGAUUCCACACAGUGCUCAGAAUCAUUGCCUAUCAGAAGCUCUAAAUAAAACAUUCCAACACCAAAUUACCAAACAUUCAAUGGUUAUCCAUGGAGUGCAACUUACCACACAAGUUUAGCAUCCUGCCCAACCACAUUAAUGACUUGAAUUUGGUAGUAGCCAACUUUUCUUAGACUUUGAACUGUAAAUGUCUUUAAACUUGAGUUGUUACCUUGGAAAUUUAGGUGUCUCAAAUAUCUUCCUAACAAGGAGUAUAAUGAUAUAGAAGUUUAUUUCUUUUGAAAGUAAGAUAAAUUAUGUAAUUGCUCUGUCAUUCUCAUCCACAUGGUAAUGAAGCCCCCACUCAAGAAUCUCAAAAGUCCCCUCUACUCACUGGCUCUACUGAUAUAUUAAAGUUUAUUCUCCUCUGAACAAUUCACUGAUAUAAGCUUACUUAUCCCUGUGAAGAAGUCAGUAUUACUACCUUUACUUUAUAUUCUGAGGAACCAAGGCCAAAAUUAUAAAGUACUUCUUACCCCUGAAAUGAAGUAAAAGCAACACCAAGAAAGACAUUUGGACCUUGCAACUCCCAGCCAUGAACAACAUGAUCUUCACUGAUGAGAAAACAGUACAAUAAAUAAUACCAAUAUGCCAUUCUCAAAUGGAAAGAAAGCAUUAUUUCUGUACUAGAGGUACACACCUGAUAAACAAUUGUGAUCAGCCCCCCAGUUGAUUAUUUCUACAUUUUUAAAUUUUUAAUAAAACAUAUUUUUUUCCUGCUCCUCUCUUCUUUCCCUGUUUCUCCUGUAACCAGCUCUUUCUCUAAAAGUAUCAGAUAGUAAUAAGAGUUCCAACUGUAAUUCAGAACUUUAGAUAAGGAAAUUAAUUACUGAAGAAUCUACUCAAAUGGGUCCCACCACUUCAUUUCAAGCUUUGGAAAGAAAUACUCAAAAGACUAUGGAGAAACUGUGUAAGAAUUUUACUCUAAAGAUUAACUGCCUAAACUUCACUGAUUCUGGAUAUCUUAAAUCAUUUUUGAGAUAAUUUAGAGAUUUAGGGAUAAAUCAAAUCAUUUUAAAGAAUAAUGUGAAUUACAUAAUACACAAAUUUUGAAUAUGUAAAUGAACAUGCUUUCUUUUUGGGAAAAGUUAACGCAUAAAAUAAAGAUGAAAAGUGAAGAAGAACAAUAUUUAAGGAACUUUUCAUGUAUGCCCAUAUGAAUUCAUCACAUGUUUGUAAGGCGCUGUGAUUUUACUGUUCUUACCAAAAAAGUUU
rnacentral:lncRNA from 1 species